AACGAACGUUAGCGGCGCGCCUAACACAUGCAAGUCGAACGCGACAGGGGCAACUCUGUUGAGUGGCGCACGGGUGAGUAACACGUAGGUAAUCUCCCCCCGAGUGGUGGAUAACCUUCCGAAAGGAGGGCUAAUACAGCAUAAGACCACGGCAUCGAAAGGAGCUGAGGUUAAAGCGGAGGAUCGCAAGACUUCUCGCUUGGGGCUGCGCCUGCGGCCCAUCAGGUAGGUGGCGGGGUAACAGCCCACCAAGCCUAAGACGGGUAGCUGGUCUGAGAGGAUGAUCAGCCACACUGGAACUGAGACACGGUCCAGACUCCUACGGGAGGCAGCAGUGGGGAAUCUUGCGCAAUGGACGAAAGUCUGACGCAGCGACGCCGCGUGGGUGAUGAAGGCCUUCGGGUUGUAAAGCCCUGUGGGGAGGGACGAAUAAGUUUCAGCUAAUACCUGAAGCGAUGACGGUACCUCCUUAGCAAGCACCGGCUAACUCUGUGCCAGCAGCCGCCGUAA
rnacentral:rRNA from 1 species